AUUUUCGAUCCCCGCCGCCCGGGUGGCAUGAAUCAGUUCCCUCACGGGGGCCGAGGAGUGCGCCCAAUUAUUUGACUAUUCUGACUGAUCAAACAAUGAAAUUGUUAACAUAUAAACAACUUUCAGCAAUGGAUCUCUCGGCUUUCGUAUCGAUGAAGAACGCAGCAAAUCGCGAUAUGUAGUGUGAUCUGCCUAUAGUGAAUCAUCAAAUUUUUGAACGCAUCUUGCACCCCUGGGUAUUCCUGGGGGUACGCCUGUUUCAGUAUCAUUAUUACCUCUCUUCAACCAACUUGUUGGUAGAUGGGAAACAUAACUACUGGCCCUGAGUCGCCUUUUAGGGGGCUUCACGGCUAAAAUGCUCGGUUAUUCUUGGCUGAUGACAACCUUUUGGUAAGAUUUAUCCUACUAAAAAGACCCAGUAAACCAAGAAAUGGACCUCCCCAUAUUUUAUAGAGACCCCACCAACCUUGAUCUGAAAUCAGGCGGGAUUACCCGCUGAACUUAAUCAUAUCAAUAAGCGGAGGA
rnacentral:rRNA from 1 species